GAUGAACGCUAGCGGCAGGCUUAAUACAUGCAAGUCGAGGGACAGCACAGGUAGCAAUACUGGGUGGUAACCGGCAAACGGGUGCGGAACACGUACACAACCUUCCUUUAAGUGGGGGAUAGCCCAGAGAAAUUUGGAUUAAUACCCCGUAAUAUAGUUGAAUGGCAUCAUUUGAUUAUUAUAGCUACGGCGCUUAAUGAUGGGUGUGCGGCUGAUUAGAUAGUUGGCGGGGUAACGGCCCACCAAGUCUACGAUCAGUAGCUGAUGUGAGAGCAGGAGCAGCCACACGGGCACUGAGACACGGGCCCGACUCCUACGGGAGGCAGCAGUAAGGAAUAUUGGUCAAUGGACGCAAGUCUGAACCAGCCAUGCCGCGUGAAGGAUUAAGGUCCUCUGGAUUGUAAACUUCUUUUAUUUGGGACGAAAAAGGGCCUUUCUAGGUCAACUGACGGCACCAGAUGAAUAAGCACCGGCUAACUCCGUGCCAGCCGCCGCCGUAAGAC
rnacentral:rRNA from 1 species